UGCAGGGCAAUAUGUCUACAUCUGUUCCACUUGGAUAAAGCUGAAUCUGUUCGAUAGUUGUACCCAAACACUGAUGAGGUACCCAACGCAAUCAGCAAAUUGCUACAGACCACGCAUCCUCAAGAAAAGAGAUAUUAGCUUUCCAACAAACAAAUAUGUUUGAUACAGGAAAAGCAACUGCGUCAAUCUAAAAAGGUAAGACGCAUAGUAAACAUCGCAUCGCCUAUGUCUCGCCUUUGCAUUUGCGGAAAUCGUAUCUCCGGACAGGCUUAGUGGUACCUGUUUCUAGAUAGGACAACUAGACGAAAUUUUACACAUCCGAAACCGAACGAUUACUAGGCAACGACGAUGUGAUCACUGCCUCUUCCCAUGCUAUGUGUUUUUAUUCAAGCCAGCUUCAUAUUCACAUGAGUAUGAAGCUGGCCAGAAUAAACUUCAUGGAGCGCGUACAAGUUUGAGCGAAACAACGGUCACAGCAGUAGCACGAGUGCCUCAUUCAGUCGGACAUUCGCAUGAGGAGUAUGAACUGGCGAACGAUUGGAGAUCGAUCGAUCUCGUCGCCAAAAAAUAGAGCAGGACAGCAAGGUCCCGUCGGCAGAUCUAAAAACUUUGGUCAGAUUCGUUCUAUGAUUAGAGCGAGAACUACGAAUCAUACUAAACCUUUUCGACCAGUUGAAAUAGCAAGUAGCUAUUAAAACGAAGUUUCAAUGUGCUAGUUAUUCUCCAGAGACGUCUUGAGAUAUGGAGGGAGUAUAAGGGAGAACGACGGAGAUAUAUGGAGAACGGAUGUCAGUAUUUCUCGUCAAGUUCCUUCCCCAACCAGUUCGCUGUAUUUGGAGAGCCUGUUCCCGCCCGCCCUGCGCUGGCGUGUUUGGUUCCUCCCAUCUUCUCAACAGUAUGUUAAUUGUACCUUGGAGUUGUAAGCAAGAUGUUGUUAAUAAUAAUCAUUAGUACUAUUCGGGUUAAUGUUGAUGAAGCAACUACGUUGAUGCCAAACGUCUACCCUAGUCGUAUCCACGAUGAAGGCGGCGGCAUAACAAGUGUUCCACAAGCUCUAAUGAACUAAUGCCCAACACGAACACAGGCAUUCUCUUACUGGGUGGGUCAAGGAAGGCAAGCGCGACUCGACCUGCGUCGUCUGCUGGACCUUAGAUUGAAACGAAACUAACUAGUGCACUGUAGAAAGGAAAAGCCUCUGCUAUAGUGCUAUAGCAAAUGUGAUACGCUGUGUCGUAAAGCACGAGUGUGUUCCAAGACGCAUUGAAAAAACAAUCUCCUACGACUGACUGGUCAGCUCAUGUGAUACGUAUGGCAGCACGAAGGAAUUAGACGACCUUUGCCGAACAGCCAGAGCUAUUAACGACAUCAUGGAGUACGCUUGUUUUCGUCUUGCCAGUGAAGUAUCUUCGAAGCAACGAUGUUGCCAGGCCAUUUCUCAUGCUCUGUAUGUUUCCUAUAGAGUAUAUAAGGGUAACGGAAACAAAUGAUCAGCAUAAAUUCAUUCCGUUGAACCAAACUACGUAUCUCGGCCUAAUCAGCAGCGCCAAAGGUCCUUAUUUGAAACGAAAUACCAAAUUUAUGUUGAGCGCAAGCAAAGACAGUCCAUUGUUGACUUGCUAUAUAUAAAGCUUUGUAGGUGAGGGCUCUGAACGACUGAUCUAAUUUAACGGUAAUUUCAAUUAAUUAUCACAAGUCGAAAGUUAUCCUUGACUUUAUUCUCCGUCGCUGUGUUUACCGUAGAAUAAAUGUGAAAGUACCCAAAACGGAUAGCCACCAGGAAGUCCUAACUUCAGCCAGGUCCAUGUUUCGAAACGUCCCGGCCAGAUGAUAAAAGUAUCUUUCAAAAAAAGGUCACGUGAAAGGGCAGGGCGACUCACAAAAGUGUAUACUGUCGGAACUAAACAGUUGAGUUUCAACAAUGAAAAAGAACUUCGUUACGGCUAACUUGGGACCCGUUUGAGCAGCGGGUCUAUAGCCGCUCCCAAGGGCGCCACUCACCGGCCGAGACGGCUUGAAGAUAACGAAUGAAACCUCUGUCCCGCGCUGCGCUGCGCCGCACCGCAAUAUAACGUUGCCGACGCUGGCGUUGCCGUUUGUGAGCGAUAACUGUAUUGUUCUGUGUUGAUGAUAACCGACUGGACGACUACCAGCUACGCACGUAUAAGCCUGAUGCUGUUCGAAGCAAUCGGAGAAUAAGUAUAUGCGUCUCAAUGAUGCCAUGGAGGGUAAAUCUUCUUCCGCAAAUUCUGUUCACAUCCUCUACAGGUUCAAUUAUGCGUAUCGCGCCCACCGAACUCGAUCUCAACGUCGUAACGACCGAAACUGCAAAAACAGCUAUUGGCGCUUGUCUGCUCUAUCCUUCAAUGGCCUUCGAUCUCAAUAGGCCUGCGCGUUUUCGUUUGUAUGCGCUUGCUGCCCCAGGGAGAAUGCGAGGCCUCCAUAGUUUUUCCCAUAUGGCCUGGCACCAAUCGGGCACUCUUCCGCAUAUGGCUCUACAAUAGGUCAACCAAUACGCACAUUCGUUCAUACAAUGAAUGAUCUCUGUAGCUGAGAUGGCCUAACGGUGACAGUGGCCGCUACUGCAGUGACGGUAAACGUGGUAUCAGCUACAGCAAGCAAAUGGUCUGCUGACGACGGUGUCGACAACGCAAACGACGACAGCAGCGCGAACCAACGACUCUUUAUCAAGUAAUGGCCCGAGCGAGCACAAAGACACGCAUAGACAUUACACAUACGGAGGCACGCAGACGCAAAUGCACAGGCACAUAUCAUGCAUUUACGUCGCGACGUGCACGGUUUUCCGAUGUUCCAAAGGUAAAGAACCGCCGGGAGCUACAGGAUAUGAGGGUACAGAGAGAAAGUGAAAGAGGAGAAUGGGGGGUAGAGGCGCGACACAAACAGGAAGAGAGCAUGAAUCAACAAGAGAAUCGUGCAAUGAGAAGAGGGAGUAUUAGAGCGCCUGGGGAGAACGGUAGUAGAUACCCCCCACUGGUCUGGGCGAUCCAGCUAGGGUUUCAUUAUUAUGGAAUGCAUGGGGCAAACCGCAUUUGCCUAACCAAAUACUGUGAACUGAAACCAAGUGGAACAUAGACAGAUAUACAUGGAGGCAAUAGCCAAUCGACAUAGCAAACAGCACGAAAGCGGAUGCCCAUUGAUGGGCAUUUGUUCUUCUAACAUAUUGUCAAAAGAACAAGAAACGUCUAAGGACCCAACUGUGUAACUGUAACUUACCUGCGAUUCAACUUGGCGUACGGCACUGACCUAAGUAACUAGAUUAGCAUCUAAGUGAACACAAACCGCUUCC